rnacentral:lncRNA from 1 species
CUUUUCUUUCGUCUUCUUCUCCUUUUCAUAAUAAAUUGACGACGCUUCAAUUGUUCUUCCUUCAUGCCUUCCUCCUUUCUAAAUCCGUUAGGAUGAGGUUCAAAUUCAUCGUGGGUUUCAUCGUGUGCCUCCAUCAUUGAUUGGCUUCUUUGCCUAACUCAUCAUCUACUUGCUUCAUUACUCUGUCCAAUGCCUCCUGAUUUCAUCACCAUAAUUUGAGAUCGCCUUCUGCAGAACUACCACUACAUUGUUCGCAUCUUGUUGCACAUCUAUUGAGAGUGAGAAUCUCUAGUCUUUGAUUGAUUGUAAAGCUUGUCCGAAGGAAUCGUUGGCUAUGAAGUACUUGGUUUAUGUGGAAUUGAUUUUUUGUUCUUUUGAUUUUUGGGGAAUUAAUUUUUUUAUUGGAAUUGAUUGUGAUUAUUUGAUGUUAUAGCAUAUGAACGAAC